AUUGAACGCUGGCGGUAGGCCUAACACAUGCAAGUCGAACGGUAACACAAUAAGGGUUGCUGUUUAGCGGAGGAGUGGCGGGCACGGGGGUAGUAUCCUGCGAACUGCCCUUUGGCGUGGGAUAACUACUGGAGACACUAGCGCAUAUCCCAUAACCUCGCAACACGAGAGAGGGGGAGAUUCUCGUCUCUUGCGAUCGGAUUUGCGCAGAUGGGAUUAGCUAGUAGGUGGGGUAACGGCUCACCUAGGCGACGAUCCCUAGCUGGUCUGAGAGGAUGACCAGCCACACUGGAACUGAGACACGGUCCAGACUCCUACGGGAGGCAGCAGUGGGGAAUAUUGCACAAUGGGCGCAAGCCUGAUGCAGCCAUGCCGCGUGGAUGAAGAAGGCCUUCGGGUUGUAAAGUACUUUCGGUGGGGAAGAAGGGAGGAAAGUUAAUACCUCUAUUUUGUGACGGUACCCGAAGAAGAAGCACCGGCUAACUUCGUG
rnacentral:rRNA from 1 species